UGAAGCUGGUACUGUUCCUGGUACUUUCUGGGGCUUCCACCAGGCUACAGGUGUCUGGGUGAAGCUGGUACUGUUCCUGGUAAUUUCUGGGGGCUUCCACCAGGCUACAGGUGUCUUGGUGAAGCUGGUACUGUUCCUGGUACUUUCGGGGGGCUUCCACCAGGCUACAGGUGUCUGGGUGAAGCUGGUACUGAUCCUGGUAAUUUCUGGGUGAUUCCACCAGGCUACAGGUAACUAGGUGACCAACGGCCGACAUCAACACAUACAGGGCGUUCCAACUACACACCUCAGUUCAUUCAGUCAGCACGUUAACACACACGCUUGGCUUCCGUGGCAGAGCCGCAUGGGCCUUUGUUUGCCACAUGAGCUUCCUGACCAAAACUAGCAUGUCAAGUCCGGAACUGUGUACGUUAAACUAUGUUUCGAAUAUAUUCGGGAACUAUAACGUCAAAUAUUUAACGUCAUCUAACACGCUUUGCAAGAUUGUUUCUUAUUUGUCUUGGUUUUUUUGUUCGCUUCAGGCAGCAUUCGGAACUAUUCCAGCUAUAUAAAGGCGCUUUGAACAAACACGAGCCUCAACCUGACUACUUUGCGGCAUCCGGCGUACCAAAUGGGAUGAGCACCCUCAUGUUUGGUUGUGUUUAAGAAAUACCAAAGGAACGUUAACACGCACGGUACCAAAACAAAGACCGCCGUUAUUGAGCUGGAACAAUGCAGAGUGCAAAGUUUAGCAGCAAACAAACAGAGCAUUAGCAGGUAUGGAUAAAACGAUAAUAUAUACUUUUUGAAGUUUUGUAUAUACCACAACUUCUUAAGUUUAAGUCUGCCCCUAGGCUGGACUGAUUCUUGCAAGAAAAUGUAAAUAUGCUUUAUCCCACGCUAUCAUCCUGGAUCCCCGAAUCAGAUAAACCGCUUGGAUCCAUCUACGAAUCAGAUAAACCGUAUUGAUCCAUUCAGGAUUCAGAUAAACUGCUUGGAUCAAGCUAACUGCUUGGAUCCAGGAAUCAGAUAAACCGUUUGGAUCCAUGAAUGAGAUAAACCGCAUGAAUCCAGAUACACCGCUUGGAUCCAGGAAUCAGAUACCCUGCUUGGAUCCAGGAAUCAGAUAAACUGCUUGGAUCCAGGAAUCAGAUAAACAGCACGGAGCCAUCCAGGAAUCA